AGCACCGAUAAGGAUAAGCUUUGGGAAAUUGCAACACAAAAAAAUAAUAUUUUUAUGUGUAUACUUCACAAAUUAAUUGCGCGCACUACAAACGAAAAAUCGUCGCAGCGACAGCGACAGCACUGCCUCUCUGUCUCUGCCGCUGCCAGUAGUCGUUGGCCUCUGCCGGCGUCGAUUUGACUGCGCUGCAACGCCAACUAUAAAUAGUGCGGAUUUGCUGCUUAUCGCCGGACACACAUAUUUGCACUGUCUUUUAUGGCAGCGUUGAGUAAUUGGCAAGUGGCAAGCGGCAAGCUGACGGAAUGGUCGGGGUGGAAUGGAAUGGAAUUAGGUCUGGGCAUAGCAACUUUACAGCUGUUUUGGCAGAUGGUUCUGUUAAAUCGGACCAAUACUCGUCACCAACUAUAUAAUGCCUAAUUACAUACAAACACACAUACAUAUGUUAUUUAUGUACAUAGGAAAAUCUGCACAACUUAAUAGCUUUCAAACUGGUUUUAAUUGUUGUUAUUAUUUUUAUUUUUAAUUCGUCAUGUAGAGACGCUGAAUUGAAUAAAACUGAUACCGCUGAUAAAACGGAU